rnacentral:rRNA from 1 species
UACAGAGGGGGCAAGCGUUAUUCGGAAUUAUUGGGCGUAAAGGGCGCGUAGGCGGCUUGGCAAGUGGAUGGUGAAAUCCCUCGGCUUAACCGAGGAACUGCCAUCCAGACUGCUUUGCUUGAGGCCGGGAGAGGUGAGUGGAAUUCCCAGUGUAGCGGUGAAAUGCGUAGAGAUCCGGAGGAACCCCAGAGGCGAAGGCGGCGCCCUGGCUCGCACCUGACGCUCAGACACGACAGCAUGGGGAGCGAACGGG